UUCAAACAUCCACGCAAGAUUUUUUUUGCUUCUUAACCGUAGUCUUUCACUUCACAGUUCCCCGCCGCCUCGGCACUUGCGUGCCUUGCCUGUGACCGGCACCGAACCCGCUUCAGCUCCUCCCCCACAUCCUAUGAAUCCGGACGGUUGUCCUUGUCCGCCGCCACGCAACGGAAUGCCAGCUCUACCACCGCGAUGACGGCAUCCAUUGAUUCUUCGUCCUUCGCCAAAAACAGGCUUCUUUUCUUUACCAUUCAGACCCUCCAUGCAAGCAACGGUCAGUAGUCAAUGCCAAGCACGCUCAGGGCAAAAAAUAACGGAGGUUUGAGGAAAUUAUUAAUUAUGGGUAGUCUUACAUCACCCUUUGCGUAAGGAUAUUUGGUGUUUUUGAAUUAAAAAUUGAUAAGUAUUUUUACUCUUUAA